rnacentral:rRNA from 1 species
UACCAGCUCCUCGAGUGGUCGGGACGAUUAUUGGGCCUAAAGCACCCGUAGCCGGUUCCGUAAGUCUUCUGUUAAAUCCAGUCGCUCAACGUCUGGCCUGCAGAGGAUACUGCGGGACUAGGAGGCGGGAGAGGCGGACGGUACUCCGCGUGUAGGGGUAAAAUCCUUUGAUCCGCGGAAGACCACCAGUGGCGAGGGCGGUCCGCCAGAACGCGCUCGACGGUGAGGGGUGAAAGCUGGGGGAGCGAACCGGAUUAGAUACCCGGGUAGUCCCAGCCGUAAACGAUGCGAGCUAGAUGAUUCGAUCGCAGUUCGCGAUCGAAGUGUCGCAGGGAAGCCGUUAAGCUCGCCGCCUGGGGAGUACGGUCGCAAGGCUGAAUCGCGAGUAGAUUUUCUAUUCGCGCAGUUCACUUAAAGGAAUUGGCGGGGGAGCACCACAAGGGGUGAAGCCUGCGGUUCAAUUGGAGUCAACGCCAGGAAACUUACCAGGAGCGACAGCAGGAUGAGAGUCAGGCUGAAGACUUUACUUGACGAGCUGAGAGGAGGUGCAUGGCCGUCGCCAGCUCGUGCCGUGAGGCGUCCUGUUAAGUCAGGCAACGAGCGAGACCCUUGCCGAUAAUUGCUAGCUGCCCAGUGAUGGGCGGAGGCUAGUUAUCGGGACUGCCGCUGCUAAAGCGGAGGAAGGAGAGGGCCACGGCAGGUCAGUAUGCCCCGAAACUCCUGGGCCACACGCGGGCUGCAAUGGUAAGGACAGUGGGUCCCGACCUCGACAGAGGAAGGCAAUCCUCAAACCCUACCCCAGUUGUGAUUGAGGGCUGAAACCCGCCCUCAUGAAUAUGGAAUCCCUAGUAACCGCGUGUCAUCACCGCGCGGUGAAUACGUCCCUGCUCCU